CCUACGGGUGGCUGCAGUGAGGAAUAUUGGUCAAUGGGCGAGAGCCUGAACCAGCCAAGUCGCGUGAAGGAUGACGGCCCUACGGGUUGUAAACUUCUUUUGUCAGGGAGCAAUUGAGCCCACGUGUGGUCUUAGCGAGAGUACCUGAAGAAAAAGCAUCGGCUAACUCCGUGCCAGCAGCCGCGGUAAUACGGAGGAUGCGAGCGUUAUCCGGAUUUAUUGGGUUUAAAGGGUGCGUAGGCGGAACAUUAAGUCAGCGGUAAAAUCGAGGGGCUCAACCCCUUUAAGCCGUUGAAACUGGUGAUCUUGAGUGGGCGAGAAGUAUGCGGAAUGCGUGGUGUAGCGGUGAAAUGCAUAGAUAUCACGCAGAACUCCGAUUGCGAAGGCAGCAUACCGGCGCCCGACUGACGCUGAGGCACGAAAGCGUGGGGAUCGAACAGGAUUAGAUACCCUAGUAGUC
rnacentral:rRNA from 1 species